GGCGAUGAAGGACGUGCUAAUCUGCGAUAAGCGUCGGUAAGGUGAUAUGAACCGUUAUAACCGGCGAUUUCCGAAUGGGGAAACCCAGUGUGUUUCGACACACUAUCAUUAACUGAAUCCAUAGGUUAAUGAGGCGAACCGGGGGAACUGAAACAUCUAAGUACCCCGAGGAAAAGAAAUCAACCGAGAUUCCCCCAGUAGCGGCGAGCGAACGGGGAGCAGCCCAGAGCCUGAAUCAGUAUGUGUGUUAGUGGAAGCGUCUGGAAAGGCGCGCGAUACAGGGUGACAGCCCCGUACACAAAAAUGCACAUGCUGUGAGCUCGAUGAGUAGGGCGGGACACGUGGUAUCCUGUCUGAAUAUGGGGGGACCAUCCUCCAAGGCUAAAUACUCCUGACUGACCGAUAGUGAACCAGUACCGUGAGGGAAAGGCGAAAAGAACCCCGGCGAGGGGAGUGAAAAAGAACCUGAAACCGUGUACGUACAAGCAGUGGGAGCACGCUUAGGCGUGUGACUGCGUACCUUUUGUAUAAUGGGUCAGCGACUUAUAUUCUGUAGCAAGGUUAACCGAAUAGGGGAGCCGAAGGGAAACCGAGUCUUAACUGGGCGUUAAGUUGCAGGGUAUAGACCCGAAACCCGGUGAUCUAGCCAUGGGCAGGUUGAAGGUUGGGUAACACUAACUGGAGGACCGAACCGACUAAUGUUGAAAAAUUAGCGGAUGACUUGUGGCUGGGGGUGAAAGGCCAAUCAAACCGGGAGAUAGCUGGUUCUCCCCGAAAGCUAUUUAGGUAGCGCCUCGUGAAUUCAUCUCCGGGGGUAGAGCACUGUUUCGGCAAGGGGGUCAUCCCGACUUACCAACCCGAUGCAAACUGCGAAUACCGGAGAAUGUUAUCACGGGAGACACACGGCGGGUGCUAACGUCCGUCGUGAAGAGGGAAACAACCCAGACCGCCAGCUAAGGUCCCAAAGUCAUGGUUAAGUGGGAAACGAUGUGGGAAGGCCCAGACAGCCAGGAUGUUGGCUUAGAAGCAGCCAUCAUUUAAAGAAAGCGUAAUAGCUCACUGGUCGAGUCGGCCUGCGCGGAAGAUGUAACGGGGCUAAACCAUGCAC
rnacentral:rRNA from 1 species